rnacentral:tRNA from 1 species
ACCUGGGUGGCUCAGUCAGUUAAGCAUCUGACUUCAGCUCAGGUCAUGAUCUCACAGCUCGUGGGUUCAAGCCCCACAUCGGGCU